rnacentral:lncRNA from 1 species
GCUGUAGUAGCCCCCGACGAGUCAUCAAGCAACAGAGGAAGGCUGCAUGCAAGAGUUAAUAAGUUCACACUAGUGUGGAACCAGCGGACAAGAAGUAAGAGAAGACUAGUCUAACCUUGAACACAAUUUAAGGUAGAUAGACUUAUCCAAUUGCCUUCUUUUGGAAAUGUUGUAGCUCUCGACCUCGACAACAACGUUUGUAAAAGAAUAGAGGUGAAACUUGCAAUAGAAACUUGCAUGCAAAGACAAAUCCGUACAUAACACACAGUACCAGGCAGAGAUGAGCUGUUCGUCCUUAAACUGGGU